UAGGGUUUGCAUUUUUUGUCAAAAAUAUAUUGAAAGUUCAAAAAGUUUUUUCUAAAAGAUAGGGGGCUCCACCCCUUCACUCUUCCUCAUCUUUUGGAUUUCUUCUUUGAAAAGCACUGUCACAGGUUUUACGAAUCAUUUAAGACUUCUAGCUAAAUAGAGUGGGCUUUGUAAUGGAGUUUGUAGAGAUUCAAAUUGGAGCUCAGAGUUGAUUAUAGUUUCAGAAGUUACAGAAGAAGACAUUGAAUCCACUCCUCUCUUUGAGGUUUCAGUUGAACUUGACGCAAAUCUCUCUUCUUUUUUUUCUGCAAAUUGCUUGCAAUUGGGAAGAUGAGAGCAGCAUGCUGGGGUGAAAGGAAAAGCUAUUUGUGAUAGUUUUUCUUCUUUCUGGGAUAAGAUUUUUAAUUCAUAAGGUAACAUUCAUUCCAUUAUCUUUAUUUCAUAUUAUCUGUUGAGUUCUGAUUCUCAACUUUUGUAAUCUUUGAUGCCAACUUUUGCACCUCUCAAUGAGCCAUCAACUAUGUAAGAUCAUCACAAGUUUGGCUUAGGUAACAAAUUGGCAAGUGUUUGUACAUUCUUUUUCUUUCUUAUUUUUGGUAAUAGUUCAAAUUGGCAGGUGUACAUUCAUCAAACAUUUGUGCUUCCAAUUUUUGUUGGAAGCAGCAUUCAAGAGGAUCAAUAUUUACCUCCUACUUCUGCAUGCGUGAGGUAUUCUGUAGCUGCUGCAAUAGCUCUUGACCAGGCACACCAACAUUCAUUUGUAAAAUUUCAGCAUUUUAUAUGUAAUUUGUUCUAUUAUUUACUAAUCUUCUAUAUAUGUAAA